rnacentral:rRNA from 1 species
AGAUUUUGAUCCUGGCUCAGGAUGAACGCUGGCGGCGUGCUUAACACAUGCAAGUCGAACGAAACACCUUAUUUGAUUUUCUUCGGAACUGAAGAUUUGGUGAUUGAGUGGCGGACGGGUGAGUAACGCGUGAGUAACCUGCCUUCAAGAGGGGGAUAACAUUCUGAAAAGAAUGCUAAUACCGCAUGACAUAUCGGAAUCACAUGGUUUUGAUAUCAAAGAUUUUAUCGCUUGAAGAUGGACUCGCGUCCGAUUAGUUAGUUGGUGAGGUAACGGCUCACCAAGACCGCGAUCGGUAGCCGGACUGAGAGGUUGAACGGCCACAUUGGGACUGAGACACGGCCCAGACUCCUACGGGAGGCAGCAGUGGGGGAUAUUGCGCAAUGGGGGCAACCCUGACGCAGCAACGCCGCGUGAAGGAUGAAGGUUUUCGGAUUGUAAACUUCUUUUAUUAAGGACGAAACUUGACGGUACUUAAUGAAUAAGCUCCGG